GACGAACGCUGGCGGCGUGCUUAACACAUGCAAGUCGAACGAUGAACCCGGAGCUUGCUCCGGUGGAUUAGUGGCGAACGGGUGAGUAACACGUGAGUAACCUGCCCUUGACUCUGGGAUAACUGCGGGAAACUGUAGCUAAUAACGGAUACGACCCUCGGCGGCAUCGCCAGGGGGUGGAAAGAAUUUCGGUCAAGGAUGGACUCGGGGCCUAACAGCUAGUUGGUGGGGGAACGGCUCACCAAGGCGAGGACGGGUAGCCGGCCUGGGAGGGGGGCCGGCCACACUGGGACUGAGACACGGCCCAGACUCCUACGGGAGGCAGCAGUGGGGAAUAUUGCACAAUGGGCGCAAGACUGAUGCAGCAACGCCGCGUGAGAGAUGACGGCCUUCGGGUUGUAAACCUCUUUUAGUAGGGAAGAAGCGAAAGUGACGGUACCUGCAGAAAAAGCACCGGCUAACUACGUGCCAGCAGCCGCCGUAA
rnacentral:rRNA from 1 species